GUCCGUUUUUUACGGGAUGGGUGGCAAUCCUAUUCAAGGGUGCUGAAUAGGAUUUUAGGCUAAAGCAACCCUAAAACUGGUCUAGAAUCGCCACUGCUGUCAACGUUAACGCGUUAGCGCACGCGAUUAACCAGAACAUUUUAAUGCGUUAAUAUUACAUAACGCAGAUCAAUCGAACCAUCUAUUUUGACAUCAGAGCCUCUCUCCCGCGGAGGGUUAUCUAGUUCACAGCAGCGCCUUACACACGGGGAGAUACCAACAGCAAAAUACUUUUUCCGCAACUGCAGACAGCAACAAGAGUUGAACAGUUUCAACUUUCUUGUGUUGGGUCUUUAACCAACGUUGUGCACAUCUAGUUUACUAGCCCGGAAUUUCACGUGCACAAAUUACACCUGUCUUCACUGGCUGGAUGAGGACAAUAUGGUGUCACUUCAUCACAGGAAAUGAAUGUAGAGGAACAUUUCUAAACCAACGUUUAAAACAAACUGAGUUUCUAUAAACCUUCCUGAAUAUAAAAACCUGGAAAACUAAGAAUCUUCAGACAAGGUUGGUUUGAGACAACAAAAAAUUUUUUCAGAAUGUGCAUGUUUGAUAUGGGCUUCAUGGUAUCAUAAAAGGGUGGGGCAUCCAAGAAGUAGAAAUUAAAAUAGAUCUAAUAAAAUAGAUCUUAUCUAUCAGUUGGCUCCUGAACAAGUUUGUUACCACUUGUAUGCAUGUGUAAUGGAGUAAAUUUCUCUUAGUUGCUGUUGAGUAUGGGAGAGUACAAAUGCAAGAUAAUUGCUUGGAUUUGAAAUUGUUGGCGUGCAGCAAGAGGGGUUUGCACAGCUGUGAGCAUAUUUAUAUUUCAAGCUUACAAAGUUAGGCAUUGUGAUUAAUCAGCCAGAUUCUGCUAUGGGCAACACAGGCAACCGCCCAGGGCGGCAUCUUAUGGGAGGUGACAAGACCGACCCCUCACCUCUCACCGCCCCAGAUACUCCAAUUGUCUGUGUCUCACUGUAACUUCCAUCCUUCUGUCCAUAGACUAAUGGAUGGUAAACAUAGUGAGAUGUUGCCAUCUUAUUGUAUUUCCAUCCUUAGGUCUACAGAUGAAGGUACAGAAGGUGUCUCUGUCUGCAAACACAAUAUAUGGAUAGGACAUCAGAAUGUAUCUGUCUAUGGAAAUGUUUCUGUGUACCUGAGUAUUAAGUUAAAAUUAAAACUAAUGUCACUGAACAUUGUUAUUUUUCAGGAAACAGCAUCAAGGGCACAAGCGGGUCCAGCAGCGCUUUUUGACACUUAGAGUAUUGUUUCAUAGGCGAUUCAUAGGCUUCAACCCAGAAACAAGAACAAAAGCUGCAAACAGAAAAGUGACAUCAAAACCAACAGAACGACUUAUGCAAAACACAGCAGUGAACCCACAUGUCUCCAUUCUCCUCCUUCAUGAACCAGUGGAACUUUUAAAAUGGUAAAAUUACACAUUUACACACAAUCAGUUCUCUCACUCCAUCUGUCUCCCUGUCUGUCUUUUUCUCUGCCUGUCUCUCUGUAUCUGUCCUGUCCAUU